rnacentral:ncRNA from 1 species
CGGGGAAGCAGGCUCCCCGCAUAUUAAAGACCGCGUUUCACGACGACAGCGUCCAAGCCCUGC